rnacentral:rRNA from 1 species
AACGAACGCUGGCGGCAUGCCUAACACAUGCAAGUCGAACGAGACCUUCGGGUCUAGUGGCGCACGGGUGCGUAACGCGUGGGAACCUGCCCUUAGGUUCGGAAUAACUCCCCGAAAGGGGUGCUAAUACCGGAUAAUGUCUUCGGACCAAAGAUUUAUCGCCUUUGGAUGGGCCCGCGUUGUAUUAGCUAGUUGGUAGGGUAAAAGCCUACCAAGGCGACGAUCCAUAGCUGGUCUGAGAGGAUGAUCAGCCACACUGGGACUGAGACACGGCCCAGACUCCUACGGGAGGCAGCAGUGGGGAAUAUUGGACAAUGGGCGAAAGCCUGAUCCAGCGAUGCCGCGUGAGUGAUGAAGGCCUUGGGGUUGUAAAGCUCUUUUACCCGGGAUGAUAAUGACAGUACCGGGAGAAUAAGCUCCGGCUAACUCCGUG